rnacentral:rRNA from 1 species
GAUGAACGCUGGCGGCGUGCCUAAUACAUGCAAGUCGAGCGAACGGACGAGAAGCUUGCUUCUCUGAUGUUAGCGGCGGACGGGUGAGUAACACGUGGAUAACCUACCUAUAAGACUGGGAUAACUUCGGGAAACCGUAGCUAAUACCGGAUAAUAUUUUGAACCGCAUGGUUCAAAAGUGAAAGACGGUCUUGCUGUCACUUAUAGAUGGAUCCGCGCUGCAUUAGCUAGUUGGUAAGGUAACGGCUUACCAAGGCAACGAUGCAUAGCCGACCUGAGAGGGUGGUCGGACACACUGGAACGGAGACACGGUCCAGACUCCUACGGGAGGCAGCAGUAGGGAAUCUUCCGCAAUGGGCGAAAGCCUGACGGAGCAACGCCGCGUGAGUGAUGAAGGUCUUCGGAUCGUAAAACUCUGUUAUUAGGGAAGAACAUAUGUGUAAGUAACUGUGCACAUCUUGACGGUACCUAAUCAGAAAGCCACGGCUAACUACGUG